rnacentral:rRNA from 1 species
AGGACGAACGCUGGCGGCGUGCUUAACACAUGCAAGUCGAGCGGAAAGGCUCCUUCGGGGGUACUCGAGCGGCGAACGGGUGAGUAACACGUGAGUAAUCUGCCCUCCACUCUGGGAUAACGUUCAGAAAUGGGUGCUAAUACCGGAUGUACACAGGCUGACGCAUGUUGGUGUGUGGAAAGUUUUUUCGGUGGGGGAUGUGCUCGCGGCCUAUCAGCUUGUUGGUGGGGUAAUGGCCUACCAAGGCUUUGACGGGUA